AUAAUUAAAGUCUUACUUAUUUUGGUUUAUUUUUAUUUGAGAAAAAUCUUUAUGUUUAGUAUAAUUAAAGAAAAACUUUUAUUGUUAUAGUAAAAUAGUACUGUGAAGGAAUUGAUGAAAUAAUUUAAAAUUCAUUUUUAUAUAAGUAUGUUUAAUUUACAGUACCUUUUGUAUCAGGGUUGAUCAAUUAAUUUAAGAUAUAUUGUUAUCUCGAUUUUAAAAGAGCUAAUUUAUUAUUUUAUUUAAUGUUGAAUAAUUAUUAAUAAUAUAAAUUAGUGAAGAAAUUUUAUUCGAUUUUAAAGGUAUCUAGUUUUUUAAGAAAUAAAUUUAAUUUAGUCUCAUUAUUUAAUUUUUACAUUAUUAUAUAAGUUAUUAAUUGGGAUAAAAUUUAUAGGGGAUAAGCUCUAUAUUUUUCUAUAAAAUUUUAAUUAAUUAAUUUAUGUAGGGUUAGAAGUAUCCAUCAUUGGAAAGUAUGUUAUAAUUUAUAUUUGCUAUUAAUUAAUUUUAUUUUUUUUAGAAUAUUAUUAAAAUAUUAAAGUAAACUUUUUACUUUAAUUAAUAAUGAUUAAAUUAGUAUAAAAUAUUGUUUAUUAUAUUAUAAAUAUUUAUGAUAAAAUAAGGAACUCGGCAAAUAUAGUUCUCGCCUGUUUACCAAAAACAUGGCCUUUUGAAUUUAAUAUAAGGUCUGACCUGCCCAGUGAUGAUUUUAACGGCCGCGGUAUACUGACCGUGCAAAGGUAGCAUAAUCAUUAGUCUUUUAAUAGAGGGCUGGAAUGAAAGGUUUCACGAGGAACUGACUGUCUCAUUUUAUUUGUUUUAAAAUUUAAUUUUUUAGUUAAAAAGCUAAAAUUUUAUUGGUAGACGAGAAGACCCUAUAGAGCUUUACAUGAACUUAAUUAAAUAUUUUUAUAUUAAUAUUUUUAUUUAUCUUUAUGUUUUGUUGGGGUGACAAAAAUAUAUAAUUAACUUUUUUAUUUACUUUACAUUGAUUUAUGAAUAUUAGAUCCAUUCUUAUUGAUUAUUAGACUAAGUUACCUUAGGGAUAACAGCGUAAUCCUCCUCCAGAGUUCAUAUUUACAGGAUGGGCUUGCGACCUCGAUGUUGGAUUAAGAUAAUAGUUAGGUGUAGCCGCUUAAUUAAUAGGUCUGUUCGACCUUUAAACCCU
rnacentral:rRNA from 1 species